CCCUCAUAGCUCAGUCAGUAAAGAAUCUGCCUGCAAGGUAGAAGACCCAGGUUUGAUUCCUGGAUCAGGAA
rnacentral:tRNA from 1 species